UGCAGAAUCCCGUGAACCAUCGAGUUUUUGAACGCAAGUUGCGCCCGAUUCCAUUAGGCUGAGGGCACGUCUGCCUGGGUGUCA
rnacentral:rRNA from 1 species